GUGCUCACCAGGGCUCGGUCCUUUCCAGGUGGACCUGACCUGCCCUCCAUGAGCGAGAGAAACAGUACUGGUUUGGGGGUCUCCUGUCCGAGUGGACACGGGAGACCAUGGUUUUCAGUACAACA
rnacentral:snoRNA from 9 species